rfam:Sorghum bicolor cultivar BTx623 chromosome 1, whole genome shotgun sequence.
GUUGUCGUAUUUACUUCAAUCCAUGUGUGUUGGUGUGGAUUGAUGUGGAAUUUAGUUCAAGUUCCACUUCAAUCCACCUCAAUACAUGUGGAUUGAUGUGAAUACGACU